rnacentral:rRNA from 1 species
UGCGUAGGUGGUUUAUCAAGUUGGUGGUGUAAUUCCGGGCUUAACUCCGGAGCUACCACCAAGACUGAUGAACUUGAGUACGGGAGAGGUAAGUGGAAUUCCUAGUGUAGCGGUGGAAUGCGUAGAUAUUAGGAGGAACACCGGUGGCGAAAGCGACUUACUGGCCCGCAACUGACACUGAGGCACGAAAGCGUGGGGAGCAAACA